CACUGCUCACGUCACUAGACUCCGCCUCCCGGAUUUUAUAACAACUGACACAUUGUAGCCUACAGGAGAGCAGAACUCACUGCAAGCAAAAAGGGGAAGAAACGCUCACAAAAGGGAAGGCAGCAGGAAAAAUAAUCGGGUUGAUGAGGAAAUGAAGGCACAGGGAGGCUGAAUGACUUUUCCAGCAUCCCAUGGCUCACAACAAAUGGGAGAGCUGGGCAAGAAAUCAAGACACCUGACCCUGCAUCUGGUGUUUGUUCUCUCAUCCACCCAGGACACACUGAGAAGAUGGUCAUCUGAAAGCCAGGAAAAGAGACUGCACCAGAACCUGACCAUGCUGGCACCCUAAUCUCAGAUUUCCACCCUCCAGAACUGUUAGAAAAUACAUUUCUGAUUUUUAAGCCCC